rnacentral:rRNA from 1 species
GUGAGGAAUUUUGCGCAAUGGGGGCAACCCUGACGCAGCGACGCCGCGUGGAGGACGAAGUCUUUCGGGAUGUAAACUCCUGUCAGUGGGGACGAUAAUGACGGUACCCACAGAGGAAGCACCGGCUAACUCCGUGCCAGCAGCCGCGGUAAGACGGAGGGUGCAAGCGUUGUUCGGAAUUACUGGGCGUAAAGCGUAUGUAGGCGGCAAGUUAAGUGCAAUGUUAAAGCCCACGGCUCAACCGAGGAGAUGCAUUGAAUACUGGCUAGCUAGAGGGUGUUAGAGGAAGACGGAAUUCCCAGUGUAGCGGUGAAAUGCGUAGAUAUUGGGAGGAACAUCGGUAGCGAAAGCGGUCUUCUGGGACAUACCUGACGCUGAGGUACGAAAGCGUGGGGAGCAAACGGGAUUAGAAACCCCAGUAGUCC